CCCUACGGGGCGCAGCAGUAGGGAAUCUUCCACAAUGGACGAAAGUCUGAUGGAGCAACGCCGCGUGAGUGAAGAAGGGUUUCGGCUCGUAAAGCUCUGUUGGUAGUGAAGAAAGAUAGAGGUAGUAACUGGCCUUUAUUUUACGGUAAUUACUUUGAAAGUCACGGCUAACUACGUGCCCGCCGCCGCGGUAAUACGUAGGUGGCAAGCGUUUUCCGGAUUUAUUUGGCGUAAAGCGAGUGCAGGCGGUUUAAUAAAUCU
rnacentral:rRNA from 1 species